AUGGAAAGAAUCAUCUCCAGAUCUAGGAAGAUUCAAAGCUCCGAGCUUAUUCGAGGAGUCGUUGGCGGCGCACACCACAGAAGCAGCUGGCCACCAGCCACCACCAAGACCACCGCCCCCGAACGCCAUCAACCGCUUCUCACCUACGGCGGCAACAUACUCCCCAUCAGCAUAGGGCGUGUUUGGUUGCCCGCAUCGAGCCCAACCAGGCCCGCCCGGGAGGGGAGAGGCUUGUUUGGUUCCCUGGUUUUUCUGUUGGGCCUGCAUCGCAUGCUUCUCAAAGCAACCCAGAGCCUGGCCCGCUAG
rnacentral:rRNA from 1 species